rnacentral:misc_RNA from 1 species
UCAAACUUGGUCAUUUAGAGGAAGUAAAAGUCGUAACAAGGUUUCCGUAGGUGAACCUGCGGAAGGAUCAUUAACGAAUAACUAUGGUUGGGUUGUAGCUGGCUCUUCGGAGCACUGUGCACGCUCGCCAUUUUUAUCUAUCCACCUGUGCACCGACUGUAGGUCUGGAUGACUCUCGCCUCACGGCGGAUGCGGGGAUUGGCUUCUUGCCUCUCCUCGAAUAUCCAGGCUCUACGUCUUUUACACACCCCAAUAGUAUGAUAUAGAAUGUAGUCAAUGGGCUUCCAGCCUAUAAAACACUAUACAACUUUCAGCAACGGAUCUCUUGGCUCUCGCAUCGAUGAAGAACGCAGC